CUCUAAAUAACAUUGUAAUUGUAACAGUUGUUAGAUCUGUUCAUUUUCAAUUGAACGAUUUUUGCGACUGUCACGUAUUGAAUUUCAAAAUCAUCUCAAGUCACAAAAAUUUUCUCUAAUUUAAAAUCUCAAAUUUAGAGACCUGUGACUGUAUCAAAGUACUGAAAUUAUAUUAUAGCAGACUAUUUUGUAAACAACUGCUCACAGAAUAACAUACACAUUUAUUUUGCAGAGGAGCAUAGACUUAUGGCGGCUAGUGUCUGAGUUAAAGAAACAACCAAAACGGCUCAUGCUACAACUCUUUUUCAGAUCUAUCAUUGUUGCUUAUCGAAAUAAUGAUUUAUUUUGAAAAAAUACAGCAAAAAAAUGUGAACAAAAAAAUUAAAUUAAAGCAAUGCGUCUAAAUUCAUCUGGAGAUCGACUUCCCAAAUCAAAAAAUGGGUCAUUAUUUCUAUUAAAUGGAAAAUAUUUAAAACAAGACGACUUUUAAGGCAAAUUACGACAUUAAAAUUUCAUUUCUUACACCACUACAUAGUCGAAACUAAGUUUUUGUUUUUAAAUAGAAAACUCUGUUGUAAGAGUAGCAACAUUCAUCAUUCAAAAUUUUGGAAUGCGAAAGAAUGAAACGCACAUAACUUUACCAUUUUCCAUCAACAAUGGUCGGCGUUUUUGGAUAAAAAUUUUGAAGUAAACGCGUGUUAAAAUUUAUAUUAUAUUAUUUUAUUUUGCUUUAUUGAUUAAAAAGAAGUUUAUAAAGAAGUGAAUAGGAUAGAGGAAAACUCUCAAUGCGCUUCCCGAGCUGGAAAUCGAGGAUAUUUGGUGAUUCCAAGGUUGUAUCGCCUUGCUAUUUGGAGCGCAUAAUGCAGCACUCCACUCUUUGCACGAAGUAUGUAGCGGAGGAAUUCCGUCUGCCAGCCGAGGCGUUUGAAUUGUCUAUUGGUAAUAUUGAAACGCGUUUUCAGCAGGCAUUGGGUAACCGAAAGCGCAAUUGUGGAUCUGGUCGCGCAGAGUUUGGGUGAACGUGCUACACAGUGUUGUCAAAUAACGCAACAUUGAGUGUGCCUACUAUGAGGUGAGGAUCAAGAAUUCAUAAAUGUCUACUACGAGAACUCCGAUUUCAAUUUAACACGCAUUUCGCCUUGGUUGCUGCAUAUCGAAUUGAAAUAUUCCUAGUGUUGGGCAUAUAUACUGUGUGCAAAUCGGUUGAGAAAGAAAUUAAUGCUGUGCUGAAAAUCUUUGGCUUGUACGUAAAUUAUCGUCCUUUGGCCUUGUGUGAGGGAAUCACAGCUUACUGAAUAUAACACAAAAUUGAAAUGUAAAUAUUUCUUCAUAUUAACCUUAUAUCUUUUGUUUGGUGAAAAUGUCAUCAGCUGAGAAUUUAACAUUUUUUUUGGUUACCUUAACAUAUGUAACUCAUGUUAAUCAUUUAUUUGUUUACCAAAACAAUGUUAAAUUAACUAAACAAAAUGUUACGGGAAGUGAACAAUGUUAAAAUUUCAGUACAAUUUUUAAUGUUUCUUAACGUGUAGCCAAGGCAUAUCUAUAUUAAGUACCAUGAUAAAUCUUGUAGUUCCCAACUUUUUAUGAACUGUGUACAAACUUUCAUGUAUUUGUUUUUAAAAUAUAAUGUUGUAACUUAACUCUAACUAAUACAACAGAAAAUAAAUUUUAAUUUUUUUAUA